GUGGGGAAUAUUGGGCAAUGGGGGAAACCCUGACCCAGCAACGCCGCGUGAAGGAAGAAGGUUUUCGGAUCGUAAACUUCUAUCCUUGGUGAAGAUAAUGACGGUAGCCAAGAAGGAAGCCCCGGCUAACUACGUGCCAGCAGCCGCGGUAAUACGUAGGGGGCAAGCGUUGUCCGGAAUGAUUGGGCGUAAAGGGCGCGUAGGCGGCCUGGUAAGUCUGGAGUGAAAGUCCUGCUUUUAAGGUGGGAAUUGCUUUGGAUACUGUCGGGCUUGAGUGCAGGAGGGGUAAGCGGAAUUCCCGGUGUAGCGGUGAAAUGCGUAGAGAUCGGGAGGAACACCAGUGGCGAAGGCGGCUUACUGGACUGUAACUGACGCUGAGGCGCGAAAGUGUGGGGAGCAAACAGGAUUAGAUACCCUAGUAGUCC
rnacentral:rRNA from 1 species